AUGCAAACAACUGUCACUUUAUUGUCACCUGCAGCCGUUCUGCAAAAGGCACACAACAAACUUCAUUGGUACAAAAGAAUUUCGCUCCGGGGAUUUUCAGUCGAUUUUCCUGGAGUUUUCUUCCUUUUUUUUUUUUUCCUUUGUUUUUUUUUUUUUUUUUCCCCUGUUCCUUUUGCAACACAGUCACUGGGCUCUGCCAUCAGCCCAGAUGGGAAGAUCCUUUCACAGAAAGGAUUAUUUUGUGCAGACAGACAGCUCCUUACUGCAGGGGGAACAGCCCCGAGGGCAGGAGGGCACGGCCACCUGUGGGAAAACUGGGAAUCAAUGGCACCUCUGUGUCCCCCUGCAUCAAUGGCACCUCUGUGUCCCCCUGCUGCAGUGGCACCUCUCUGUGUCCCCCUGCUCCCUGGCACUGCUGCUGUUUGUAGGAUCAAGCUCCAUCCCAACCCCACUGCUCCCCCCCAGCUCUGGAUGCAGGAUAAGGGGAUGGGGCUGCCCCCUCCCCAUUUCUCAGCAGUGCUGAGCAUUUCUUUACACAUUUUAUCCCUUUUUUUUCCCUCCAGCUCUGCGUUGCUGCAGGGUGAGGGUGCCAAGGAGAGCGCCCAGAGGCUGGGGAUGAAUUUGGGGAAUUUUCCUGCCUGUGCCAGCAUGGAAACUCACACUGCAAACCCAGCUGUGACUCACAAAUGUUAUCCCAGCACCCAAAGAGAGGAUUUUGAGGAAUUUGGUGGGGUGCCACCCACACCAGAGUGGGGCACAGAGCCCUGAGCCCCAGCAGCAUCCCCCCAGCUGCCCUGUGUGGAUUUAGGGAGACAAGGAUGCUUCAGGGACCACCAUCCUGCCCUGCCAACAUUGGACGUUGACAUUUUUGCCCAUAAAACCCCUCAGGCAGGGCCAGACCAAGCUCUGGGGUGGGGGCACAAUGCCACAGUCCCACAGCAGCUCUCCCACAUCCCAACAUCCCAAGAGAAUUUUCUUUUUUGCACUGUCCCUAUAGCUACUCUCCAUUUCUUUUGGUACCAGCUCCCAUUUCUCAGCUCCCUCCCCCAACAUUUCUUAUAAAAAUAAGAUUGUGCUUGUUUAUAAAAUAAUUAUAAUUCUUUUUUUGGUUUGUUUUUUUUAAGAAAAGCUUCCAGUUAAAAAAAAAAAAAAACCAAACGGUGGUGUAUCAAAAUAUGGCAAAACUUUGGCUGUCAGUGGCUAAACUCUAAUUAAAAAUAUCCACUACAAAGGCAUUGUGCUGUGAUAAUUAACUCUGCAAUCAGCAAAAAUUCCACCUGGGCUGCCUGCUUUCCCUGGGACACGCUCAGAAACCACCCCUGGAUUUUCCUAGCACGUCACCACCAUCCUCUGGCAGAAUUAUUCCAGCUGUAAGACACCUAAGGAUGCAUGAAAAGCCUUGGGAAAAGAGAAGGGAGAUGCAGUGGGAAGAGCCACACGGACAAGGCAAGGAUGCACAUUCUCCUCAAGAGGAAAGUCUGUUUUCUCACCUUAGUAGUGCUUAGGAAAAAAAAAAAUUGGAUUUUUGAUAGAGUUCAUGAAAGAAGAGAGGCAGAUCUUUUGUAUAAAAGGUGUUCCAGAGCAGGAGUAAAAUGCAAAUGGGUCUAUAAGAUCCAGACAUAUAUAAACAUACAUACCUCGAUAUAUUUAUAUAUGUGUUCUCUAGAUAUUCAAUGUUUGGAAUGCAUUAUUGCAUUAUCCUUAUAGGGGAUUUGUUUUUUUCCAUCCUGCUUUGCUUUCUUAUGUUUUUUUGGGAGGGUGAGUUUUU
ensembl:lncRNA